UUCAAACCCGUCCUGGACCCUCCCAAUCAUAUCCCUGGUCGGCGCUUCCAGCUGCAACUCCACAGCAUUUGCGGUGUCACCGGGUCGGCGGCCCGACUGCUCGGGUGCCGCCACGGCCGCGUCCUCGUCAUAAACUUUCUGCGCAAUGUGCUUAUUGUCAUUGCACCCAUCACCGGGACGGUGCUCUAUGUGCCCUUUCCGCCCAAGUUGAAAACGGACAGCUUCAUCACCGGGACGGUGCUCUGCGCUGCUGCUGACCAUGACCACGUGCACGGAAGCUGCCACUCGAGCCCAUUCAAGGUCCACAGCCCGCCUUUGCACAUGUUUGCUCCUCAGAGACCGGUGUAUGGAGCGACCUCAUCUCAACACCGACUCCACCUAAGUUUUAUCAUACUGAGAGUUAUGGUUCACUUAUUGGUAAUGCACUUUACUGGCUGUGCAGAGGUGGAGAUUACAUACUUAAGUUUGAUUUGGAUGGGCACAACCUAGCUGUGAUGAGAGCGCCUCCCAUUACAAAUGAUGUCUGCUACCGCAAUGGCAGCCAUCAGAUCAUUCAGGCAGUGGAUGGUGCUGUUGGUCUCGCCAUAUUGUCUCACAAUGGCCAUACGAUUCAAAUGUGGCAAAAGGAGGUCAAUUCUCAGAGUGUUAACAAAUGGUUGUUGUGGCAGACCAUUGAAAUGCAUAACAUUCAUGGGUUACCUGCUCAGAUUGAAGGAAGGAAGGCAAAGUUAUUUAUACUGGGAUAUGCUGAGGAUACUGAUGGAAUACUUUUAUAUAUGGACGACGGUGUCUAUAUGGUUCAAUUGAAGUUGAUGCAAUCUAGAAAAGUUUGUGACCCCCCCACAAAAGAAUACUAUCAUUCUUUCGAGAGUUUCUAUAUGCCAGGCACAACCAUUGCUCGUGGUUAUGAUAGAGCUGAAAUGUUGUGAGGCAGGCGAUACAUAGGAUGACUAUCUGCCUUGAUGUGCUAAUGUGCUGAAACGGUUCACCAGGUGAACAAAGGGUCGCUGCAAUUGUUAGUUGUCACCGAGUUUGUCACAUCGCAUCAAUGUGGUGGUGGCAGUGUUAUAAUGUUAUCUAAAAAAACUUAUCGUGCCUUAGUCUAGCAAGGUUCUAUGUAGCAAGAUGCUUUUGAAUAGCUAAUCCAGGGAGUGGUCGCGCUUCUCUUGACCCAGGAGAGUUUCAGCCCCAAAGUAUCACAUGUACUUGGUGCUUUUGUGUAACGGUGAGAGUUUCUGAGCUGGUUUAAAUGAAUGAUUCUGUAGGAACUAGAACCCUGAAACUGAGGUUGUUGCUGCUGUCUAGGAUUUUGUAAGUGUUCCUGGCUUGUCGUUUCUGUGAUGGUUCUUUUAAGUUCGAUUUCCAUGUUACAACAUCACAGAUCAAUAAUUUGCCUUCCUCUGAAUUACUAUCAGCUGGGACGACAGAUCACAAAUAGUAGGAAUCAUCUACAUGGGUAUGCCCC